rnacentral:rRNA from 1 species
UUUGAUCCUGGCUCAGAAUGAACGUUGGCGGCGUGGAUUAGGCAUGCAAGUCGAGCGAGAACCCGCAAGGGGGACAGCGGCAAACGGGGUAGUAACGGGUAGGCAACGUACCCUCGGGUCGGGGAUAGCCACGGGAAACUGUGGGUAAUACCCGAUAAUCUCUGCGGUGGUAAGUAUCGCAGAGCAAAGGUGUGAUUCCACCGGAGGAGCGGCCUGCUUCGUAUUAGCUAGUUGGUGAGGUAACGGCUCACCAAGGCGACGAUGCGUAGGGGGUGUGAGAGCAUGACCCCCACCACUGGGACUGAGAUACUGCCCAGACACCUACGGGUGGCUGCAGUCGAGAAUCUUCGGCAAUGGGCGCAAGCCUGACCGAGCGACGCCGCGUGUGGGAUGAAGGCCCUUGGGUUGUAAACCACUGUCAGAGGGGAUGAAAUGCGGGAGAGCUAUCUCUUCCGUUUGACAUAGCCUCAGAGGAAGCACGGGCUAAGUUCGUGCCAGCAGCCGCGGUAAUACGAACUGUGCAAACGUUAUUCGGAAUCACUGGGCUUACAGGGUGCGUAGGCGGUCUGUUAAGUAGGGUGUGAAAGCCCCCGGCUCAACCGGGGAAUUGCGCCCUAAACUGGCGGACUGGAGUGAGAUAGGGGUGUGCGGAACUUCCGGUGGAGCGGUGAAAUGUGUUGAUAUCGGAAGGAACGCCGGUGGCGAAAGCGGCACACUGGAUCUCNACUGACGCUGAGGCACGAAAGCCAGGGGAGCGAACGGGAUUAGAUAC